UCUCCAUCCUUUCUCCCAAUCUAGCCGGUUGGACGAAUCGUGCAGGCAGCGCUGGCGACCACAACCUCAAGCAGACCAGUGGUCCACCUCACGCCACCUCAUCGUUAGCCUCCGCCCCUAUCCUCUCCCCAAAGCAAUCGACCUCGUCUCCCACCCUCUCCUCCUCGCCUCAUCAGAAGAGAAGAUAACAGCAAGAUCGACCAGAUCAGGCGCCAGUCAUGGCGGCGGCCAGAUUCGCCGCGGCCGCAGCCACCUAGCUAAGGCUCCGAUCUUGGCUGCCAUGGAGGUCAAAACAGCACGCCGGGACAGGACCUAACCACGACCAUAAAUGAGGACAUGGCGCCAUGCAAGCGAGAGGAGCAAGGUGGCUUCUGCAGGUUGCGGCUGAGAUUUUCAGCACAAGAAGAGGCUAGGCACCUUUGGGGCUUAGAAUAGCAGGGUGAGAUGGAGUUUUGUGGAGCACUAAGGUAGAUACAGUUGUGGUACUGUAUUUUGAGUAGUAUUGCUGGUUCAUCAGUUUUGGUGGGAUUGGUUGCUCUCGUGUGUUGUGAUGUUGGGUUGCUAUUUACCCAUAUUCGUGUAAUUAGUUGGCUGUAUAGAGUUAUGUAGUUGGAUGUAGUGUUCUUGCUGCGAUUGUGAGGUAUUUUGUGUCUGCUAAUUUAAAAUCAGGGCUGAUCCUUGUGACCAGAA